GAGGGGAGGACUAACCCAACAAGAACUGCUAAUUCUCGCCUCUGAGUCUAAAACCUCAGUCCCCUUA
rnacentral:tRNA from 1 species